GACGAACGCUGGCGGCGUGCCUAAUACAUGCAAGUCGAACGCACUCUCGUUUAGAUUGAAGGAGUUUGCUCCUGAUUGAUCAACAUUUGAGUGAGUGGCUGACGGGUGAGUAACACGUGGGUAACCUGCCCUAAAGUGGGGGAUAACAUUUGGAAACAGAUGCUAAUACCGCAUAAAACCUAACACCGCAUGGUGUAGGGUUGAAAGAUGGUUUCGGCUAUCACUUUAGGAUGGACCCGCGGUGCAUUAGUUAGUUGGUGAGGUAAAGGCUCACCAAGACCGUGAUGCAUAGCCGACCUGAGAGGGUAAUCGGCCACACUGGGACUGAGACACGGCCCAGACUCCUACGGGAGGCAGCAGUAGAGAAUCUUCCACAAUGGACGAAAGUCUGAUGGAGCAACGCCGCGUGAGUGAAGAAGGUUUUCGGAUCGUAAAACUCUGUUGUUGGAGAAGAAUGUAUCUGAUAGUAACUGAUCAGGUAGUGACGGUAUCCAACCAGAAAGCCACGGCUAACUACGUG
rnacentral:rRNA from 1 species